UACGUAGGGGGCAAGCGUUGUCCGGAAUCAUUGGGCGUAAAGCGCACGUAGGCGGCCUCAAAAGUCGGAUGUGAAAUCCCGUGGCUCAACCAUGGACGUGCAUUCGAAACUGCGAGGCUUGAGUAUGGAAGAGGGUCGCGGAAUUCCCGGUGUAGAGGUGAAAUUCGUAGAUAUCGGGAGGAACACCAGUGGCGAAGGCGGCGACCUGGGCCAAUACUGACGCUGAGGUGCGAAAGCGUGGGGAGCAAACAGG
rnacentral:rRNA from 1 species